ensembl:lncRNA
GGGUUGGCCAAAAAGUUCAUUCAGGUUUUUCUGAAAGAUCUUGUGGAAGAACAUGAACGUUUUGGCCAACCCAAUAGUUGCUUUACACUAUGAUGAAAGUUCCUUAUCUCAAUCUCUGAUCAGUAACAAGCAUUUCACAGACCGGCAUUGCCCAAGGAAGACCUAGAAUCCUCUAAACAGAAGUGAAGUGAAAGUCACUCAAUCCUGUCUGACUCUGUGACCCCAUGGACUGUAUAGUCCAUGGAAUUCUCCAGUAUUCUUUCCUGGGAAAUCCCAUGGUCAGAGGAGCCUAGUGCACUACAGUCCAUGGCAUCACAAGAGUUGGACACAACUUAGUGACUAUACCACCAUCUAUCUAUCUACAUAGGCUCCUGUGAUAAUAGAAGCUGGAAAGUCCCAAGAUCUGGAGGGUGAGUUGGCAAGCUGGAGACCCAGGAGGAUGAACUUCUUCUCUGUCUCCAUAAUUCUUAAGAGGAAGAAUUAAUGAGAAUUGAAAGGAGAAGCUUCUACUGGAAGACUAAUACUUGAGUUCCAGGCACUUCUGAACAAAUAGAAUAUGAAAAUGCCAGUGCUGAAACUAAUGCAAGAAACUCUGUGUGGAAGCUCCCCAUGAAACUAAAGAAGCCAAAAGAGAUGUGUGAUAUCUCUUCUGAAAGAAUUAGAACACAGCUUGAUGUCAAUAAAAAGAUUGCAACCCAUGGAGAAAAUAGUUAUUAAAAAUAUGUCCUCAAAGUCAGCAAGAGACAGCGAGACAGAGACAGAGAUCGUUUGAAGAUGGAGUAAAAAGGAAAUGUUUGGAGUUAGCUGAUAAAAAUGAUAUUAUCUUCCAACUAGUUUAGAAUCAGAGCUUUUUCAGCAGCUGAAAAAAUGUACACAAAAAUAAGUUCACUAUCUAAUAAAGACC